rnacentral:rRNA from 1 species
AUUGAACGCUGGCGGCAGGCCUAACACAUGCAAGUCGAGCGGAGCGGCGGACGGGCUAGUAAUGCCUAGGAAUCUGCCUGGUAGUGGGGGAUAACGUCCGGAAACGGGCGCUAAUACCGCAUACUAUCAGAUGAGCCUAGGUCGGCUUAGCUAGUUGGUGGGGUAAAGGCUUACCAAGGCGACGAUCCGUAACUGGUCUGAGAGGAUGAUCAGUCACACUGGAACGGAGACACGGUCCAGACUCCUACGGUAGGCAGCAGUGGGGAAUAGUGGGCAAUGGUCGAAAGCAUGAUCCAGCCAUGCCGCGUGUGUGAAGAAGGUCGUCGGAUUGUAAAGCACUUGAAGUUGGGAGGCGUUACCAACAGAAUAAGCACCGGCUAACUUCGUGCCAGCCGCCGCGGUAAUUC